rnacentral:rRNA from 1 species
GCCAACGUUCCUACCACGCUUAAACUAUCAGUUCUCGUCCGAUCACUGAAGUCAAGCAGCGUUGGGCACGGUUAGUACUUGAAUGCAGUGAAAAACAAAAUAGAAAUAUCUUAAGGUAUAAAUU